rnacentral:misc_RNA from 1 species
AACGCACAUUGCGCUCUCUGGUAUUCCGGAGAGCAUGCCCGUUUCAGAAUCAUUAAAAUCCUCCACACUUUGGGUUUGGCUUCGGCAAAACCCGGAUGUGUGGAAUUCUGGAUGCUUUGCGUUUUGCAAUCAUCUUUAAAGGAUUGUAUGUGCUGCAGAUCGUGAUCGAUUGGCAAUUAAAGUGCAACAGAUUUUUCUAUUCGCUUUAAAGGCCAUUUGAACUAGACUCAGUACACAUUUGAGCCAACCAACAGUUGUCGUGUGUAACACAUGGCUACUGAUAACUUGGUCUGAAAUCGGGCAAGAAAACCCGCUGAACUUAA